CGAGGAAUAGCUAAAAAGUUAAAGCCUCUUGCUUACACUAAGACUACUGCUUGUGCAAAUCAAGCUUCUUCGC
rnacentral:tRNA from 1 species